rnacentral:lncRNA from 1 species
CAUUGCUUUUAAUUUUUCUUUGAUUAAUCUAAUCUGAUCAGCUAUAAUUUAUACUAUCUCUGAACCUAAGAGUUUUCUUUCUCCUUCUUCAUCUCAACACACUGGAGUUCUGCACUUUCUACCAUAUAGAGCCUCAUAUGGUGCCAUACCAAUACUGGAAUGAUAACUAUUGUUGUAGCCAAAUUCUAUCAGUGGUACAUGUUCAUCCCAACAGCCUGACA